rnacentral:sRNA from 1 species
GACACCCUCUAAACUCUGCAAACUGAAACUGGAACCAUGGUUACCACAUCCUGUUCAUUUUCCAAUUUAGCUCAACCCCUGUGUCCUGCCCAAUAGAAGUGGCACCAUGGCCCCCAGACUCAUCACCGUCCUGUGUCUGGGUAAGUCCUGGAAGGGAAAGGAGGACACGGUUGGGAUGGAAAAUGCUCUCUUGAAGACCUGGCCUCUCCACAACCCAGGUCUGGUGGUGGGAAGCCAGGUUCAUCCACCCUCUGAAUCCAGGCUGAGCUGACAAACCCAGUUACACGGAGGGCAGGAUUCACAUGAAGACAAGCUAUUUUUCUCUCCUCUCUUUUUUUUUUUUUUGCCCAGGAUUCUGCCUGAACCAGAAGAUCUGCCCACAUGCGGGUGCUCAGGACAAGUUCUCCCUGUCAGCCUGGCCGAGCCCUGUGGUUCCCCUAGGAGGACGUGUGACUCUCUCCUGUCAUUCCCAUCUUCGGUUUGUCAUAUGGACAAUAUUCCAAACAACUGGGACCCGAAGCCAUCAGUUGCACACUGGCCUUUCCAACAACAUCACCAUCAGCCCUGUGACCCCAGGACGCGCAGGGACCUACAGAUGUGUUGGAAUUUACAAGCACACCUCAAAGUGGUCAGCUGAGAGCAACUCCCUGAAGAUCAUCGUCACAGGUGGAUCCCAUGAUGAGGCUGGGAGAGAAGUUGACCCUCUUCUGCAGCUCUGAAAUCUCAUUUGACCAGUACCAUCUGUUCAGAGACGGGGUUGCUCAUGGACAGUGGCUCAGUGGAGGGCAGAGACAUAGGGGAGCAUUCCAGGCCAACUUUUCUGUGGGCCGCUCAAUGCCAGUCCCUGGCGGGACCUAUAGAUGCUAUGGUUCCUUCAAUGACUCUCCCUAUGAGUGGUCAGCCCCCAGUGACCCGCUGCAACUUUACGCCACAGGAAACACUAAGAUUACUCCUCUGUCAUUCACGGAAUCCACCCCUGAAUCUGACACACAUCGCCCUCAAGGACAGUCCAGCAACCUGCAUAUGCUCACUGGACUCUCAGUAGCCAUCAUCUCCAUUGGCGUUUGCCUCUCUGCUUUUAUUGGUUUCUGGUGUUACAUAAAAUAUCACACCACCAUGGCAAACACAGAGCCCACGGAAGGCCAACGGACGGAUGAAGAAGAGCCUGCAGCAGAAGAGACACAGGAGAUCAUAUAUGCCCAGUUAAACCACCAGGCCCUCUCACAGACAGGAUUCCCUCCUGCCUCCCAGUGUCCCCACUACCUCUCGGAGGAGCCCAGUAUCUACAUCACUGUCCACCAAGCCCAGGCUGAGGCCAGAGCUGCCCCCAGUCUUUGGCACAAAGGGCAUUAAUACGCAAGGACCUGGAUCUAUUCCUAGGAGGAUUUUUUUUCCACGGACAUUCUUCCUCCUUCUGGUACCAUCUUGACACCUCGAAGC